ACGUAGGGGGCAAGCGUUAUCCGGAAUUAUUGGGCGUAAAGAGUGCGUAGGUGGUUUUUUAAGCGUGAGGUGAAAGGCAAUAGCUUAACUAUUGUAAGCCUUGCGAACUGGAAGACUUGAGUGCAGGAGAGGAAAGUGGAAUUCCUAGUGUGGCGGUUGAUGGCGUGGAUAUGAGGAGGAACCCCGGUGGCGAAGGCGACAUACAGGACUGUAACUCACUCUGAUGCACGAAAUCGUGUAGAGCAAGCAG
rnacentral:rRNA from 1 species